rnacentral:lncRNA from 1 species
UCGCCAGGGGGAGCAGAGAGGGACAAUCCCCCCCUGCCCCACUGCCCGCCCUCUGCUGCUGGAGCCCAGGAUCCCGUUGCUGCAGGAUCCCCCCGCUGCCCCACGUUCAGUGUCUCAUCCCCCAGGACCCCCAGGUCCUUCUCUCCAGUCCUUUCCCAGCCUGCACACAGAGCCAAGCCCCACUCCUUGCCCUCUGCUACGCUGAACCUCACGGGGUUCGCGCUGCCCCCCCUCUGCUGCUGGAGCCCGGGAUCCCGUUGCCGCAGGAUCCCCCCGCUGCCCACAUUCAGUGUCUCAUCCCCCAGGACCCCCAGGUCCUUCUCCGCAGGGCUGCUCCCAGUCUGCACACAGAGUCAAGCCCCACUCCUUGCCCUGUGCCAUGCUGAAGCUCAUGGGGUUCACACUGCACCUCUCUGCUGCUGGAGCCCAGGAUCCCGUUGCCGCAGGAUCCCCCCGCUGCCCCAUGUUCAGUGUCUCACCCCCCAAGACCCCCAGGUCCUUCUCUGCAGGGCUGCUCUCCAGUCCUUCUCCCAGCCUGAACACAGGAGCCAAGCCCCACUCCUUGCCCUCUGCUACGCUGAACCUCACGGGGUUCACGCUGCUCCCCCCUCUGCUGCUGGAGCCCGGGAUCCCAUUGCUGCAGGAUCCCCCUGCUGCCCACAUUCAGUGUCUCACCCCCCAGGACUCCCAGGUCCUUCUCUGCAGGGCUGCUCCCAGCCUGCACACAGAGCCAAGCCCCACUCCUUGCCCUCUGCUACGCCGAACAUCACGGGGCUCACGCUGGCCCCCCCUCUGCUGCUGGAGCCCGGGAUCCCAUUGACACAGGAGCACCCUGCCGCCCACAUUCAGUGUCUCACCCGCCAGGACCCCCAGGUCCUUCUCCCAGUCUGCACACAGGAGCCAAGCCCCACUCCUUGCCCUCUGCUACAUUGAACCUCAUGGGGUUCACACUGCACCUCUCUGCUGCCGGAGCCCAGGAUCCUGUUGCCGCAGGAUCCCCCCGCUGCCCCACAUUUUGCCUUCCGCCCUGUGGGCCGCUGCCGUCUCCCCUCACCUUCCAGGCCUCCCUUCGCUGGGCGAUGCCGCGCUGCAUCGCCUGGAUCCUGUCCCUUCCCUCCAGGACGGCGGCGGCGGCCGCUCGGUUCUCGCGCUGGCGGUCGCUGAGCGCGCGGCGCAGGAAGGCUCGGUGCCGCAGCAGGUACGGGACCAGGGCGCUGCGCGCGUCCUCCUCCGGG